GGGUUGUGAGGUUAAGCGACUAAGCGUACACGGUGGAUGCCCACGGCAGUCAGAGGCGAUGAAGGACGUGCUAAUCUGCGAUAAGCGUCGGUAAGGUGAUAUGAACCGUUAUAACCGGCGAUUUCCGAAUGGGGAAACCCAGUGUGAUUCGUCACACUAUCAUUAACUGAAUCCAUAGGUUAAUGAGGCGAACCGGGGGGAACUGAAACAUCUAAGUACCCCGAGGAAAAGAAAUCAACCGAGAUUCCCCCAGUAGCGGCGAGCGAACGGGGAGCAGCCCAGAGCCUGAAUCAGUGUGUGUGUUAGUGGAAGCGUCUGGAAAGGCGCGCGAUACAGGGUGACAGCCCCGUACACAAAAAUGCACAUACUGUGAGCUCGAUGAGUAGGGCGGGACACGUGGUAUCCUGUCUGAAUAUGGGGGGACCAUCCUCCAAGGCUAAAUACUCCUGACUGACCGAUAGUGAACCAGUACCGUGAGGGAAAGGCGAAAAGAACCCCGGCGAGGGGAGUGAAAAAGAACCUGAAACCGUGUACGUACAAGCAGUGGGAGCACAGAGCAAUCUGUGUGACUGCGUACCUUUUGUAUAAUGGGUCAGCGACUUAUAUUCUGUAGCAAGGUUAACCGAAUAGGGGAGCCGAAGGGAAACCGAGUCUUAACUGGGCGUUAAGUUGCAGGGUAUAGACCCGAAACCCGGUGAUCUAGCCAUGGGCAGGUUGAAGGUUGGGUAACACUAACUGGAGGACCGAACCGACUAAUGUUGAAAAAUUAGCGGAUGACUUGUGGCUGGGGUGAAAGGCCAAUCAAACCGGGAGAUAGCUGGUUCUCCCCGAAAGCUAUUUAGGUAGCGCCUCGUGAAUUCAUCUCCGGGGGUAGAGCACUGUUUCGGCAAGGGGGUCAUCCCGACUUACCAACCCGAUGCAAACUGCGAAUACCGGAGAAUGUUAUCACGGGAGACACACGGCGGGUGCUAACGUCCGUCGUGAAGAGGGAAACAACCCAGACCGCCAGCUAAGGUCCCAAAGUCAUGGUUAAGUGGGAAACGAUGUGGGAAGGCCCAGACAGCCAGGAUGUUGGCUUAGAAGCAGCCAUCAUUUAAAAGAAAGCGUAAUAGCUCACUGGUCGAGUCGGCCUGCGCGGAAGAUGUAACGGGGCUAAACCAUGCACCGAAGCUGCGGCAGCGACGCUUAUGCGUUGUUGGGUAGGGGAGCGUUCUGUAAGCCUGUGAAGGUGUACUGUGAGGUAUGCUGGAGGUAUCAGAAGUGCGAAUGCUGACAUAAGUAACGAUAAAGCGGGUGAAAAGCCCGCUCGCCGGAAGACCAAGGGUUCCUGUCCAACGUUAAUCGGGGCAGGGUGAGUCGACCCCUAAGGCGAGGCCGAAAGGCGUAGUCGAUGGGAAACAGGUUAAUAUUCCUGUACUUGGUGUUACUGCGAAGGGGGGACGGAGAAGGCUAUGUUGGCCGGGCGACGGUUGUCCCGGUUUAAGCGUGUAGGCUGGUUUUCCAGGCAAAUCCGGAAAAUCAAGGCUGAGGCGUGAUGACGAGGCACUACGGUGCUGAAGCAACAAAUGCCCUGCUUCCAGGAAAAGCCUCUAAGCAUCAGGUAACAUCAAAUCGUACCCCAAAACCGACACAGGUGGUCAGGUAGAGAAUACCAAGGCGCUUGAGAGAACUCGGGUGAAGGAACUAGGGCAAAAUGGUGCCGUAACUUCGGGAGAAGGCACGCUGAUAUGUAGGUGAAGUCCCUCGCGGAUGGAGCUGAAAUCAGUCGAAGAUACCAGCUGGCUGCAACUGUUUAUUAAAAACACAGCACUGUGCAAAACACGAAAGUGGACGUAUACGGUGUGACGCCUGCCCGGUGCCGGAAGGUUAAUUGAUGGGGUCAGCGCAAGCGAAGCUCUUGAUCGAAGCCCCGGUAAACGGCGGCCGUAACUAUAACGGUCCUAAGGUAGCGAAAUUCCUUGUCGGGUAAGUUCCGACCUGCACGAAUGGCGUAAUGAUGGCGGGCUGUCUCCACCCGAGACUCAGUGAAAUUGAACUCGCUGUGAAGAUGCAGUGUACCCGCGGCAAGACGGAAAAGACCCCGUGAACCUUUACUAUAGCUUGACACUGAACAUUGAGCCUUGAUGUGUAGGAUAGGUGGGAGGCUUUGAAGUGUGGACGCCAGUCUGCAUGGAGCCGACCUUGAAAUACCACCCUUUAAUGUUUGAUGUUCUAACGUUGACCCGUAAUCCGGGUUGCGGACAGUGUCUGGUGGGUAGUUUGACUGGGGCGGUCUCCUCCUAAAGAGUAACGGAGGAGCACGAAGGUUGGCUAAUCCUGGUCGGACAUCAGGAGGUUAGUGCAAUGGCAUAAGCCAGCUUGACUGCGAGCGUGACGGCGCGAGCAGGUGCGAAAGCAGGUCAUAGUGAUCCGGUGGUUCUGAAUGGAAGGGCCAUCGCUCAACGGAUAAAAGGUACUCCGGGGAUAACAGGCUGAUACCGCCCAAGAGUUCAUAUCGACGGCGGUGUUUGGCACCUCGAUGUCGGCUCAUCACAUCCUGGGGCUGAAGUAGGUCCCAAGGGUAUGGCUGUUCGCCAUUUAAAGUGGUACGCGAGCUGGGUUUAGAACGUCGUGAGACAGUUCGGUCCUAUCUGCCGUGGGCGCUGGAGAACUGAGGGGGGCUGCUCCUAGUACGAGAGGACCGGAGUGGACGCAUCACUGGUGUUCGGGUUGUCAUGCCAAUGGCACUGCCCGGUAGCUAAAUGCGGAAGAGAUAAGUGCUGAAAGCAUCUAAGCACGAAACUUGCCCCGAGAUGAGUUCUCCCUGACUCCUUGAGAGUCCUGAAGGAACGUUGAAGACGACGACGUUGAUAGGCCGGAUGUGUAAGCGCAGCGAUGCGUUGAGCUAACCGGUACUAAUGAACCGUGAGGCUUAACCUUACAACGCCGAAGGUGUUU
rnacentral:rRNA from 1 species